rnacentral:lncRNA from 10 species
UUUUUUUUUUGAGAUGGAGUCUUGCUCUGUUGCCCGGGCUGGAAUGUAAUGGUGUGAUCUCAGCUUACUGCAACCUCCACCUCCCAGGUUCAAGCAAUUCUCCUGCCUCAGCCUCCUGAGUAGCUGGGAUUACAGGUGCACGCCACCAUACCUGCUAAUUUUUGUAUUAUUAGCAGAGGCGGGGUUUCACCAUGUUGGCCAGGCUGGUCUCCAACUCCUGGCUUCAAGUGAUCCACCCGCCUCAGCCUCCCAAAGUGCUGGGAUUACAGGCGUGAGCCACAGUGCCUGGCCUUUUUGAGGAUUAUUAUAAGUAAAAGAAAAUUCAGACCACGAACAUAGCAUUCCUUUAGGUGUUUUGCAUAGAUAUAGUUUUUUGCUUUACUGUGGGUCCACUGGGAAAAGGUUUGUGGAAAUCUGAGCAGCUGAUGUUUGUGUGCUCAGAUUCUUUGGGACCUAUCUAUAAGACUUGGCGAGGCAAUACGGCUUCCACCAUUUCCCCAGGGAAAAAGUUACUCAAGGUUACUGAACUCAUGAAACCAUGUGGAUUUCCAGCAUGUGUUAUUAUAAUCUCACUAACCUUCCGAUUUUAAAACGCUGCCCAGCUCUGGCAAGUGCCUCCUGCAGGAUCCCAGCCUCCCCUGCAGG